UUAAACGUAUACUGGUUCGAGCUUUUAGCUUUGCUCGCUUUUAUUCGACACCAAAGCUUUAACAUCAUGGGAUUAACUAUUGGCUAUAUAAAUGAAAUACGUAAUACUGUAUCACAACAAUAAUUAUAACAUUAAUUGUUCCAGUUUGUAUUGGUGUUGCAUGGUGGGCUGAGGCUUCUCACUGUAUCAUGUAUCAUCAUGAUUAGUGGAAUUGUUGGUUCUGUUAAAACACGUGCAAAUGCCAGAUGGUGCACUUAUGAAAUGACUGCCUACACAGAAUACCAGCCAGCCUAAUUAAUGGUGCACUUAUCAGUGAAAUGACUGCCUACACAAAAUGGCCAUGUCAGAUGGCCUAAUUGGUGCACUUAUCAGUGAAAUGAUUGCCUACACAAAAUGAGCCAGUAAACACAAAGGGCGCCGCUAGGAGCAGACUGCCGGGCUAGAGCACAAAGCAAUAAGAUAGACCUAUAUACAAAAGAAGUGUUAACUAGUAAUAAGAACUCAUGUGCAUGUACAGUAAACAUUACAACACAGGAAAUAUGUGACAGGCUCUGGGAAAACAGACCAAUUGGCGCAAGCUAUAAUUUUUGCGAUCUAUAUACCAGAUGAUAGAGCAAAGAAUUGCCUACGCAUUGAUAUGCUUAGUUUGCACAUACCUUGUUCCAUGCCUGAGUUAUGCGCGUUGGAAACUCGAAGUUGUAAAACAGCAGUAUUGAGAAACGCCCACUCAAAGAUUGCUAAAUUGGGAAAAGUAAGGUAAUGGUGGCUGCUUAGUCAAAGCGCUUUGGUGGAAAGAGUUGGAUUCAGAGCAUCAGAUUUUACAGAGAGGUAGUAGAAAGACUGUAGAUAACUAUAAGCCAAGAAAAAAAUUUAUGAGAUUAUACACUGUAGUCUAUAAAUCUGGCUAUUGCUCAAUACCAAUAUCUGCUCCAAUUGGUCUGUUUUCCCAGAGCCUGUCACAUAUUAUGAACAGGAAAUGACUAAGUGAAUAACUAGCUACCAAAGUCAUUACAACACAUAUCUGUGGUAAAUCUAUGCUUGUUAAUCUGGUGUGUGCUCAUUAGAGCUGAAGUGCAGGUUUCACUGGUACACAUGAGUAAAAUCACUUUAAUGGGCGCUUUCUAGGAGAAUUCCAUGAAUGUACUCAAUCGCAUUGCUAAAGAAGGUGUGAAAAUAAUUAUGAAUCGUGAAACACAGCUAGGAUGCUUGACUUCAAGACAAGUUGUAGGCCUUGUGGCAACAACUGCAUGGGGUGCUUAAGCACGUGUGUAUAGCUUUAAAUUUAUACGAUGGUUGCGUGUCCACCAGCUUAUAGAGGGAGUGAAUCUAGCAAGUUUUACAUAAAUCAAAUUGGACUCGCAACUAUAUAUAGGUCUUGAUAGAUUUGCUAGCAUAUAUGCUCAAAAUAGGCAUCUUAUUUGUGUGAGAAUUAUGCUGGCAUAAUGGGCACCUUUAUGAUAAUAGACGGCUUUAGAAAAACAAUCAUAGGCCUUUUGCUAUAUUAAGACAGGAGUCAAAGAAACAAGGAAAGUGUAGCAACAAAUGGAACUUUGUGACUAAUCUUAGUUUCUGGCUUAUUACUUUGAGCAUGACUAUAUGCUUUCUAGUAUCACUGAGUAUUGUUAGCAUCAUUUCCUAUAUACUAGUAUAAAACCUAUGAUGGUUUGCAGCCUUUUGGCUUAGCUAGGAUAGCUACUUUCUCUCAAGUUUCCACGGAAUUGGAAGUUACAAGAAGAUUAAUUAACAAUGUGAUCAACCUCCUCUGGCUUCUUAUAGUAACUGCUAAAUGUUUUGCCAUUGGGAUGUGCUAAUAGAAUUAACUAGGUCAACACUCUAUAAUCUUUUCUUGGAUACACAGAUCACAUUACAUUCACUAAAAAUGGCAGUUAAAAGGAUUCUGCCUGCAUACUGUACCGAGGUCAGCAUGCAGGCUAUAUAAUGAGCUGAAAACAGAGAGCGAGUAUAAGCAACUCAUAAGCAGCCAAGGACCCAAUUUGUAUCAGCAGCAAGAAUGAAGAUAUUCGCUUUCCUCCUGGUGUUAGUGGCUUUAUGCUCACAACAGUUGGUGAAUGGAUCACUUGCGAUAGAUGUGCUGAAGGCAAUUCAGAUGAGCCAAAACAACAAAGAAGCCCUAACACAAGCAUUGGUAUUGCAAGCUUUAAAAGAUUCGUCCAAUGCAGUGAAAGAAUCAAGAAUUACCCAUGAAGACAGGGGUAGAGCCCGCAUUAGUCAAGCAGCGUCUUUCCUAACUAUCCAGGACUGCGAUACUGCUGGAAAUAUUGUAAAUUCCAUAUUGCAGCCGGCACUAGGCUGGAUUCCAGGCAUUGCAAAUGCUGUAAAUGUUUUGGUCAACUGUGGAAUAUCGUCAGGCUGUACACAAGUGAGAGUCCAAGUACCAGCAGGAAAUACCGUGGCUGAUAUUGAUGUUUGCACUGUUAGCGGCGGUGGUUUUUGUGUGGAGGUAUAUGGAGGUUCAGGUUCACCGUGUUCAGGUGGAAUCCCAUUCCCCAUUCCCAUCCCCAUAGCUUCAACUGGAACAACUGCUCCAAUCACACUGACGCUUAACAUACUAGCCAAUUGUGCGAUGAUUAACGUGGGAAAUAUCCAAACGUGUUCAAACAACUAAAGAAGUAAAGAACAUGCGUACUGCUGUAGAAUAUAUAUAGCUGUAUUAAGUGACUGGGAAAUAUAGUGUAUAUACCGAAUACAACUAUAGCUGAAGUAUAGAAUCUGUUUUGUAGUAUAUUGAAUUCUUAAACAUUA